rnacentral:rRNA from 1 species
GAUGAACGCUGGCGGCGUGCCUAAUACAUGCAAGUCGAGCGAACAGACGAGGAGCUUGCUCCUCUGACGUUAGCGGCGGACGGGUGAGUAACACGUGGAUAACCUACCUAUAAGACUGGGAUAACUUCGGGAAACCGGAGCUAAUACCGGAUAAUAUAUUGAACCGCAUGGUUCAAUAGUGAAAGACGGUUUUGCUGUCACUUAUAGAUGGAUCCGCGCCGCAUUAGCUAGUUGGUAAGGUAACGGCUUACCAAGGCAACGAUGCGUAGCCGACCUGAGAGGGUGAUCGGCCACACUGGAACUGAGACACGGUCCAGACUCCUACGGGAGGCAGCAGUAGGGAAUCUUCCGCAAUGGGCGAAAGCCUGACGGAGCAACGCCGCGUGAGUGAUGAAGGUCUUCGGAUCGUAAAGCUCUGUUAUUAGGGAAGAAAAAAUGUGGAAGUAACUAUGCACGUCUUGACGGUACCUAAUCAGAAAGCCACGGCUAACUACGUG